CAGCUCGUCCCAUGUCUCUGCAUCAUCAUCAUCCUACCGAUCAUCUCCUUCUCACACGCCAAGGCGAAGGAGAUGCCGUGCAUAGUCGGCGACUCCGAGGAGGUCCGGGGGAGGAACUACACCAUGGACGACCCUGAUCUUGUAUUCCUGGUCGACAAGGACUCCGGAUUCGCACAAAUGCACCUCUACAACCUAUCCUACGCCGCCCUGAACAACACAGUGUUGUCCACCAUGGAUCGCUUGAUACAACUCUAUCAAAGGCGUCCCGACGGGUUGGGGGUCGACGAGGCGUCCUUCAGUGUCACCAUCGUCAUGCGGAAUCAGACGUCACCGGCUGCAAGCAAUCACCUCGCCUUCCUUAUCCUCCCCGCGGAGACCCUUGAUUUUCUUCAGGUAAAUGACUCCUUGCCCUUGGCAAAGGAACUGGUGUUCGAUACCAGUUUCUACCCGCAAGCCAACCGCUCCGGUUUUGCCAACACUACAUACCGGAGCAGCUCCGUCUACGGAGUCGACAUGUACGUCGACGUGACCAUCGGAAUGCUGGCUAGCCCCGUCCCCGCGCAGACGGGGUAUGUUGGUGAACGCGUGCUGGUUGUCAAUAUCUUUACCAGCAUAGUCGGCUCCAACUAUUCUGUGUGGAUCGACUACGACCAUGUCGGGCUGCUGUCUGUGUACGCAGACGUUGAAGGCAAGCCCAAACCUAACAACGCCAUAGGCAUGGCGCCAUUCAGCAUCGGCAGCGUCGUUUCUCCGACGUCCGCAUUUGCCUAUUUUGGAUUCCUCUCGAUGGUGGAGCCGCGACGCCGUAUCAGAGGCAUCCGCUUCACCGCAACGGUCGACAACUUCCCUUGCUACCCCGUCAAAAGAGGCUUUCUGUCAAGGAAGGUCACCAUAUUGUCAUCGGUCCUUGGGUCUAUAGCCGCCACCGCCGUGGUGGCCGCCACCCUCGCGUGCUACUUCAACUCAAGGUACCGGAGGUGGCACAAGGACCUGGACCAGCUCGCCAGGUCCAUGGAGCGCCUCCCUGAGGUACCCACCAAGAUCGACUUCAUCGAUAUCAGAAAAGCCACCAACAACUUUCAUGACGGCAUGAAGCUCGGUGGAGGCGGGUUUGGCACCGUGUAUAGGUGCACACUCCCCGCCUCCGCUUCCAAGUUGGAGCGGCCGAUGGACGUGGCCAUCAAGAGGUUCACGCGUGACGUGCAGAACCGCCGAUACGACGACUUCCUCGCCGAGGUCAGCAUCAUCAACCGGUUGCGCCACAAGAACAUCGUCCCCCUCAUCGGAUGGUCUUACAACAAAGGAGUGCCACUGCUUGUGUUUGAGUUCAUGAAUAAUGGCAGCUUAGACCAACAUAUUUUCCAUAGAGGCGGCAGCGGCACCAAGCAACAAAACAUUGAUGACGCCAUUCGGCGAUGGGCAACCCGCUACGAGAUCAUCAGGGGCAUAGCCACUGGCCUGCACUAUGUCCACCAUGAGUAUAAGCCCAUGGUGCUCCACCGGGACAUCAAGGCAAGCAACAUCAUGCUGGACUCGAGGUUCCAGGCUCGCCUCGGUGACUUUGGCCUGGCUUGCACCGUUACCAUUGACAGAAAUUCUAUCACUGGCGUGGGAAGCACCUGGGGCUACAUCGCGCCAGAGUACCCGGUUUGCCGCAAGGCGACGCGGCAGACAGACAUCUACGCUCUUGGGGUGCUCAUCCUCGAGGUCGUCACAGGGCUACGGGCGUUGGCCGAUCAUGAGGUGGUGGAUGAUGACGACAUGCAUAUCACCGAUAGAGUGUGGCAUCUUCACAGAGAGGGGAGGCUAUUGGAUUGCGUGGAUGCCAUGUUGAUCAAUGGUUUUUCUCCGGACAAUGAGGAGCAUCUAGACAAUGUUGGUGAUGCGGAACGCUUGCUGCUCCUGGGCUUGGCCUGCAGCAACUCAAACCCAUCACACAGGCCAACCAUGCUCGAGGUGGUGCAGGUCAUCGCCAAGUUAGCUCCGCCACCACAGGUGUCACCUCUGAAGCCAAGAUUCGUGUGGCCGCCGCAGGAAGAGGGUCGUUCAGUGACCUCCAAUGACGAUAGCAUAGGUACAUCAAUGAUAAGUAAUCUCGACAAGAGUAUGGCAAGCCUCAUC
rnacentral:rRNA from 1 species